AAAGGGUGAUUCUGGCUCAGGACGAACGCUGGCGGCGCGCCUAACACAUGCAAGUCGAACGAGAGAGAGGAAGCUUGCUUCCUCAAUCGAGUGGCGAACGGGUGAGUAACGCGUGAGGAACCUGCCUCAAAGAGGGGGACAACAGUUGGAAACGACUGCUAAUACCGCAUAAGCCCACGGCUCGGCAUCGAGCAGAGGGAAAAGGAGCAAUCCGCUUUGAGAUGGCCUCGCGUCCGAUUACCCUAGUUGGUGAGGUAAUGGCCCACCAAGGCGACGAUCGGUAGCCGGACUGAGAGGUUGAACGGCCACAUUGGGACUGAGACACGGCCCCAGACUCCUACGGGAGGCAGCAGUGGGGAAUAUUGCACAAUGGGGGAAACCCUGAUGCAGCGACGCCGCGUGGAAGAAGAAGGUCUUCGGAUUGUAAACUCCUGUUGUUGAGGAAGAUUAAUGACGGUACUCAACAAGGAAGUGACGGCUAACUACGUGCCAGCAGCCGCGGUAAAACGUAGGUCACAAGCGUUGUCCGGAAUUACUGGGUGUAAAGGGAGCGCAGGCGGGAAGACAAGUUGGAAGUGAAAUCUAUGGGCUCAACCCAUAAACUGCUUUCAAAACUGUUUUUCUUGAGUAGUGCAGAGGUAGGCGGAAUUCCCGGUGUAGCGGUGGAAUGCGUAGAUAUCGGGAGGAACACCAGUGGCGAAGGCGGCCUACUGGGCACCAACUGACGCUGAGGCUCGAAAGUGUGGGUAGCA
rnacentral:rRNA from 1 species